UACGGAGGAUGCGAGCGUUAUCCGGAUUUAUUGGGUUUAAAGGGUGCGUAGGCGGACGCUUAAGUCAGCGGUAAAAUUGCGGGGCUCAACCUCGUCGAGCCGUUGAAACUGGGUGCCUUGAGUGGGCGAGAAGUACGCGGAGUGCGUGGUGUAGCGGUGAAAUGCAUAGAUAUCACGCAGAACUCCGAUUGCGAAGGCAGCGUACCGGCGCCCUACUGACGCUGAAGCACGAAGGCGUGGGUAUCGAACAGG
rnacentral:rRNA from 1 species